AGCGUACACGGUGGAUGCCCUGGCAGUCAGAGGCGAUGAAGGACGUGCUAAUCUGCGAUAAGCGUCGGUAAGGUGAUAUGAACCGUUAUAACCGGCGAUUUCCGAAUGGGGAAACCCAGUGUGAUUCGUCACACUAUCAUUAACUGAAUCCAUAGGUUAAUGAGGCGAACCGGGGGAACUGAAACAUCUAAGUACCCCGAGGAAAAGAAAUCAACCGAGAUUCCCCCAGUAGCGGCGAGCGAACGGGGAGCAGCCCAGAGCCUGAAUCAGUGUGUGUGUUAGUGGAAGCGUCUGGAAAGACGCGCGAUACAGGGUGACAGCCCCGUACACAAAAAUGCACAUGCUGUGAGCUCGAUGAGUAGGGCGGGACACGUGGUAUCCUGUCUGAAUAUGGGGGGACCAUCCUCCAAGGCUAAAUACUCCUGACUGACCGAUAGUGAACCAGUACCGUGAGGGAAAGGCGAAAAGAACCCCGGCGAGGGGAGUGAAAAAGAACCUGAAACCGUGUACGUACAAGCAGUGGGAGCACAGAGCAAUCUGUGUGACUGCGUACCUUUUGUAUAAUGGGUCAGCGACUUAUAUUCUGUAGCAAGGUUAACCGAAUAGGGGAGCCGAAGGGAAACCGAGUCUUAACUGGGCGUUAAGUUGCAGGGUAUAGACCCGAAACCCGGUGAUCUAGCCAUGGGCAGGUUGAAGGUUGGGUAACACUAACUGGAGGACCGAACCGACUAAUGUUGAAAAAUUAGCGGAUGACUUGUGGCUGGGGGUGAAAGGCCAAUCAAACCGGGAGAUAGCUGGUUCUCCCCGAAAGCUAUUUAGGUAGCGCCUCGUGAAUUCAUCUCCGGGGGUAGAGCACUGUUUCGGCAAGGGGGUCAUCCCGACUUACCAACCCGAUGCAAACUGCGAAUACCGGAGAAUGUUAUCACGGGAGACACACGGCGGGUGCUAACGUCCGUCGUGAAGAGGGAAACAACCCAGACCGCCAGCUAAGGUCCCAAAGUCAUGGUUAAGUGGGAAACGAUGUGGGAAGGCCCAGACAGCCAGGAUGUUGGCUUAGAAGCAGCCAUCAUUUAAAGAAAGCGUAAUAGCUCACUGGUCGAGUCGGCCUGCGCGGAAGAUGUAACGGGGCUAAACCAUGCACCGAAGCUGCGGCAGCGACGCUUAUGCGUUGUUGGGUAGGGGAGCGUUCUGUAAGCCUGUGAAGGUGUACUGUGAGGUAUGCUGGAGGUAUCAGAAGUGCGAAUGCUGACAUAAGUAACGAUAAAGCGGGUGAAAAGCCCGCUCGCCGGAAGACCAAGGGUUCCUGUCCAACGUUAAUCGGGGCAGGGUGAGUCGACCCCUAAGGCGAGGCCGAAAGGCGUAGUCGAUGGGAAACAGGUUAAUAUUCCUGUACUUGGUGUUACUGCGAAGGGGGGACGGAGAAGGCUAUGUUGGCCGGGCGACGGUUGUCCCGGUUUAAGCGUGUAGGCUGGUUUUCCAGGCAAAUCCGGAAAAUCAAGGCUGAGGCGUGAUGACGAGGCACUACGGUGCUGAAGCAACAAAUGCCCUGCUUCCAGGAAAAGCCUCUAAGCAUCAGGUAACAUCAAAUCGUACCCCAAACCGACACAGGUGGUCAGGUAGAGAAUACCAAGGCGCUUGAGAGAACUCGGGUGAAGGAACUAGGCAAAAUGGUGCCGUAACUUCGGGAGAAGGCACGCUGAUAUGUAGGUGAAGUCCCUCGCGGAUGGAGCUGAAAUCAGUCGAAGAUACCAGCUGGCUGCAACUGUUUAUUAAAAACACAGCACUGUGCAAACACGAAAGUGGACGUAUACGGUGUGACGCCUGCCCGGUGCCGGAAGGUUAAUUGAUGGGGUUAGCGCAAGCGAAGCUCUUGAUCGAAGCCCCGGUAAACGGCGGCCGUAACUAUAACGGUCCUAAGGUAGCGAAAUUCCUUGUCGGGUAAGUUCCGACCUGCACGAAUGGCGUAAUGAUGGCCAGGCUGUCUCCACCCGAGACUCAGUGAAAUUGAACUCGCUGUGAAGAUGCAGUGUACCCGCGGCAAGACGGAAAGACCCCGUGAACCUUUACUAUAGCUUGACACUGAACAUUGAGCCUUGAUGUGUAGGAUAGGUGGGAGGCUUUGAAGUGUGGACGCCAGUCUGCAUGGAGCCGACCUUGAAAUACCACCCUUUAAUGUUUGAUGUUCUAACGUUGACCCGUAAUCCGGGUUGCGGACAGUGUCUGGUGGGUAGUUUGACUGGGGCGGUCUCCUCCUAAAGAGUAACGGAGGAGCACGAAGGUUGGCUAAUCCUGGUCGGACAUCAGGAGGUUAGUGCAAUGGCAUAAGCCAGCUUGACUGCGAGCGUGACGGCGCGAGCAGGUGCGAAAGCAGGUCAUAGUGAUCCGGUGGUUCUGAAUGGAAGGGCCAUCGCUCAACGGAUAAAAGGUACUCCGGGGAUAACAGGCUGAUACCGCCCAAGAGUUCAUAUCGACGGCGGUGUUUGGCACCUCGAUGUCGGCUCAUCACAUCCUGGGGCUGAAGUAGGUCCCAAGGGUAUGGCUGUUCGCCAUUUAAAGUGGUACGCGAGCUGGGUUUAGAACGUCGUGAGACAGUUCGGUCCCUAUCUGCCGUGGGCGCUGGAGAACUGAGGGGGGCUGCUCCUAGUACGAGAGGACCGGAGUGGACGCAUCACUGGUGUUCGGGUUGUCAUGCCAAUGGCACUGCCCGGUAGCUAAAUGCGGAAGAGAUAAGUGCUGAAAGCAUCUAAGCACGAAACUUGCCCCGAGAUGAGUUCUCCCUGACUCCUUGA
rnacentral:rRNA from 1 species